AUGCAGUCGACGAUGAAGCUGGUGCUUGCACUGGUGGAUUAGUGGCGAACGGGUGAGUAUCACGUGAGUAACCUUCCCUUGACUCUGGGAUAAGCCUGGGAAACUGGGUCUAAUACCGGAUAUGACCGGCCUCCGCAUGGGGUGCUGGUGGAAAGCUUUUGCGGUUUUGGAUGGACUCGCGGCCUAUCAGUUUGUUGGUGAGGUAAUGGCUCACCAAGGCGAUGACGGGUAGCCGGCCUGAGAGGGUGACCGGCCACACUGGGACUGAGACACGGCCCAGACUCCUACGGGAGGCAGCAGUGGGGAAUAUUGCACAAUGGGCGCAAGCCUGAUGCAGCGACGCCGCGUGCGGGAUGACGGCCUUCGGGUUGUAAACCGCUUUCAGCAAGGAAGAAGCUUUAUUGUGACGGUACUUGCAGAAGAAGCGCCGGCUAACUACGUGCCAGCAGCCGCGGUAAUACGUAGGGCGCGAGCGUUAUCCGGAAUUAUUGGGCGUAAAGAGCUCGUAGGCGGUUUGCCACGUCUGCUGUGAAAGCCCGGGGCUCAACCUCGGGUGUGCAGUGGGUACGGGUAGGCUGGAGUGCAGUAGGGGAGACUGGAAUUCCUGGUGUAGCGGUGAAAUGCGCAGAUAUCAGGAGGAACACCGAUGGCGAAGGCAGGUCUCUGGGCUGUUACUGACGCUGAGGAGCGAAAGCAUGGGGAGCGAACAGGAUUAGAUACCCUGGUAGUCCAUGCCGUAAACGUUGGGCACUAGGUGUGGGGGACAUUCCACGUUUUCCGCGCCGUAGCUAACGCAUUAAGUGCCCCGCCUGGGGAGUACGGCCGCAAGGCUAAAACUCAAAGGAAUUGACGGGGGGCCCGCACAAGCGGGCGGAGCAUGCGGAUUAAUUCGAUGCAACGCGAAGAACCUUACCAAGGCUUGACAUGGACCGGAUCGCUGCAGAGAUGUAGUUUCCCUUCGGGGCUGGUUCACAGGUGGUGCAUGGUUGUCGUCAGCUCGUGUCGUG
rnacentral:rRNA from 1 species